rnacentral:rRNA from 1 species
UUAAUAUUAGUUAUGAAAUAUAUUUCAAGAAAUUUUAUAUCUAGUUUUUUAAGAGUAAAAGUUUAAUAAAAUAAUUUUUAUAAAAAUUAAUAUGGUUUAGCUUAUUAAUUUUAUAUACUGAUAGAAUUUUUUAACCUUAGUAAAUUUGAUAGUGUUUAUUUUAUAAAUUUAUAAUGGAGGGUAAUAUGAAUAGAAAUUUUUAUUUGUUAUUUUUUUUAUUAAAAAGUUUAUUUAAAUUUUAGAGUUUUAUUUAUAAUGAAAAAAUUAGUAAAAAUUUAUUUAUAUUAAAAAAUAAUUAAUAAUUUAUAAUUGUUAUAAUUAUUAUAAAAAAUGAAUUCGGCAAAAAGUAUUAUUUGACUGUUUAGCAAAAACAUUGUUUCAUGAAGAAUAUAUGAAAUAAUGUCUGUCCACUGAUAUAUUUGAAGGACUGCAGUAUAUUGACUGUAUAAAAGUAGCAUAAUCAUUAGCUUUUUAAUUUGGGGUUGGUAUGAAGGCGAAACGGAUAAGUUCUUUAUUUUUUAUAAGUGUUUUAAGUUUAUUUUUAAGUGAAAAAUCUUAAUUGGAUGAGAGGGACAAGAAGACCCUAAUAAGUUUUAUUUUUCUUUUAUUUAUGUUAUAGGAAAAUUUAAUUAGAUAAUAUUAAAUUAGAAAUUUGGUUGGGGCGAUUAGUUAUAAAACAUAAUUUAUUUAUAAUUUU